UGGGGAAUAUUGGACAAUGGGCGAAAGCCUGAUCCAGCCAUGCCGCGUGUGUGAAGAAGGUCUUCGGAUUGUAAAGCACUUUAAGUUGGGAGGAAGGGCAGUAAGUUAAUACCUUGCUGUUUUGACGUUACCGACAGAAUAAGCACCGGCUAACUCUGUGCCAGCAGCCGCGGUAAUACAGAGGGUGCAAGCGUUAAUCGGAAUUACUGGGCGUAAAGGGUGCGUAGGCGGUUAAAUAAGUUAGAUGUGAAAUCCCCGGGCUUAACCUGGGAAUUGCAUUUAAUACUGUAUGACUAGAGUAGAGUAGAGGGAAGUGGAAUUUCCGGUGUAGCGGUGAAAUGCGUAGAUAUCGGAAAGAACAUCAGUGGCGAAGGCGGCUUCCUGGACUCAUACUGACGCUGAGGCACGAAAGCAUGGGGAGCAAACAGGAUUAGAUACCCAUGUAGUCCCUGAGCGGGCUGGCAAGGCGCAU
rnacentral:rRNA from 1 species